rnacentral:rRNA from 1 species
UCAGUUCGGAUCGGAGUCUGCAACCCGACUCCGUGAAGCUGGAUUCGCUAGUAAUCGCGCAUCAGCCAUGGCGCGGUGAAUACGUUCCCGGGCCUUGUACACACCGCCCGUCAAGCCAUGGAAGCCGGGGGCGCUUGAAGUGCGUUGCCGCAAGGCGCGCCCUAGAGCGAAACCGGUGACUGGGGCUAAGUCGUAACAAGGUAUC